UACGUAGGGGGCGAGCGUUGUUCGGAUUUACUGGGCGUAAAGGGCGCGUAGGCGGCGUGACAAGUCAGUUGUGAAAUCUCCGAGCUUAACUCGGAACGGUCAACUGAUACUGUUGUGCUAGAGUGCAGAAGGGGCAAUCGGAAUUCUUGGUGUAGCGGUGAAAUGCGUAGAUAUCAAGAGGAACACCUGAGGUGAAGACGGGUUGCUGGGCUGACACUGACGCUGAGGCGCGAAAGCUAGGGUAGCAAACAGG
rnacentral:rRNA from 1 species